CUUAGUGCCUGUGGAGCUCCACCCUCUACCAGUUCUCUGGCAAGGUGGGGCUGUGAAGCAGGAAGCUCCCUCCU
rnacentral:scRNA from 1 species